rnacentral:rRNA from 1 species
UACGAAGGGGGCUAGCGUUGUUCGGAUUUACUGGGCGUAAAGCGCACGUAGGCGGAUCGUUAAGUCGGGGGGUGAAAUCCUGGAGCUCAACUCCAGAACUGCCUUCGAUACUGGCGAUCUUGAGUCCGGAAGAGGUGAGUGGAACUCCUAGUGUAGAGGUGGAAUUCGUAGAUAUUAGGAAGAACACCAGUGGCGAAGGCGGCUUGCCAGAACGCGCUCGACGGUGAGGGAUGAAAGCUGGGGGAGCAAACCGGG